GCAUAUCAAUAAGCGGAGGAAAAAGAAACCAACAGGGGAUUGCCUCAGUAACGGCGAGUGAAGCGGCAAGAGCUCAAAUUUGAAAGCUGGCUCCUUCGGGGUCCGCAUUGUAAUUUGCAGAGGAUGCUUCGGGAGCGGCCCCCAUCUAAGUGCCCUGGAACGGGCCGUCAUAGAGGGUGAGAAUCCCGUAUGGGAUGGGGUGCCCGCGACCAUGUGAAGCUCCUUCGACGAGUCGAGUUGUUUGGGAAUGCAGCUCUAAAUGGGUGGUAAAUUUCAUCUAAAGCUAAAUAUUGGCCGGAGACCGAUAGCGCACAAGUAGAGUGAUCGAAAGAUGAAAAGCACUUUGAAAAGAGAGUUAAAAAGCACGUGAAAUUGUUGAAAGGGAAGCGCUUGCGACCAGACUCGCCCGCGGGGUUCAGCCGGUAUUCGUACCGGUGUACUUCCCCGCGGGCGGGCCAGCGUCGGUUUGGGCGGCCGGUCAAAGGCCCUCGGAAUGUAACGCCUCUCGGGGCGUCUUAUAGCCGAGGGUGCCAUGCGGCCAGCCCGGACCGAGGAACGCGCUUCGGCACGGACGCUGGCAUAAUGGUCGUAAGCGACCCGUCUUGAAACACGGACCAAGGAGUCUAACAUCUACGCGAGUGUUCGGGUGUCAAACCCGUGCGCGCAGUGAAAGCGAACGGAGGUGGGAACCCUUUGGGUGCACCAUCGACCGAUCCUGAUGUCUUCGGAUGGAUUUGAGUAAGAGCGUAGCUGUUGGGACCCGAAAGAUGGUGAACUAUGCCUGAAUAGGGCGAAGCCAGAGGAAACUCUGGUGGAGGCUCGCAGCGGUUCUGACGUGCAAAUCGAUCGUCAAAUUUGGGUAUAGGGGGCGAAAGACUAAUCGAACCAUCUAGUAGCUGGAUCCCUGCCGAAG
rnacentral:rRNA from 1 species